rnacentral:rRNA from 1 species
GAACGUAGCGAAAUGCGAUACUUGGUGUGAAUUGCAGAAUCCCGUGAACCAUCGAGUCUUUGAACGCAAGUUGCACCCGAUGCCUUCAGGCGGAGGGCACGUCUGUUUGGGCGUCACGCAUCUCGUCAACGCCUCCUGUGUCGUUCUCUUCCCCACUCGUGG